UUCCGUAGGGGAACCUGCGGAGGGAUCAUUACAGAGUUAUCCAACUCCCAAACCCAUGUGAACUUAUCUCUUUGUUGCCUCGGCGCAAGCUACCCGGGACCUCGCGCCCCGGGGGGCCCGCCGGCGGACAAACCAAACUCUGUUAUCUUCGUUGAUUAUCUGAGUGUCUUAUUUAAUAAGUCAAAACUUUCAACAACGGAUCUCUUGGUUCUGGCAUCGAUGAAGAACGCAGCGAAAUGCGAUAAGUAAUGUGAAUUGCAGAAUUCAGUGAAUCAUCGAAUCUUUGAACGCACAUUGCGCCCAUUAGUAUUCUAGUGGGCAUGCCUGUUCGAGCGUCAUUUCAACCCCUAAGCACAGCUUAUUGUUGGGACUCUACGGCUUCGUAGUUCCCCAAAGACAUUGGCGGAGUGGCAGCAGUCCUCUGAGCGUAGUAAUUCUUUAUCUCGCUUUUGUUAGGCGCUGCCCCCCCGGCCGUAAAACCCCCAAUUUUUUCUGGUUGACCUCGGAUCAGGUAGGAAUACCCGCUGAACUUAAGCAUAUCAAUAAGCGGAGGAA
rnacentral:rRNA from 1 species